CAAGAUCAACAAGAGUCGCCAUGUUUUAUUUGCUAUCUAGUAAAACUGGCCAGUUACUAGACAGUUACUGGAUAUUAUACUAGCCAGUUCCUAGCUUAAGUCUAGUUAAACUAGCCAGUUACUGGCCAGAUACUUGAUUACGUUUCUACUAGGGUAUCGAUCGUUUUUAAUCAAAAUUAACAUUCAAUGCAUAAAAAAAAAAUUAUAUUUUUUUUACAACGUAAUUUGUUUUUGUGUAUAAUUACUUUGUACUUGAAAACUCGUGAUACCGAUAUCGACAAACAGCCAAUAAGCUCAGACAAUUUACUUAUCUAAUAAAAAUUCAACCUACAAAAUAAUCGUUCUGAAAUUGAUAACUUUUAUUUUCCGUCUCUGACGCAAGUUAUGCGACAAUUAGCGACCGGUUUAUACAUAAAACACUUGUUGAAUUUGAUGGUGAGGGUAAUAGUUAGGUAUUUAAAGUUCGCUUGCUGCUCCUACUGAUUACAAAGACGUCAGAAGUUACCAAAGCCUUGACAAACAUCAACGAUCGUUUUCAGAAUCAACAAAUUAAAUCGAAAUGUCAAAAAUUAUUUUGCUGUUAUCAUUAUUUAUGUCACUGGUCGGGCUUGUGGUAAAUGCAGAGAUUGACGAGGACUGUUACAGUGCAGGAGUAAGUUCAGAAAUUUUUUACGUAUACACGUAAAAAAAUGUCAAAAACAGAUCCUAGGGGCUAACCCAAAAACUUUCCGCUCGCGUUCCCCUAGAAGACUUCUCUGAUAUCUUCAAGGCCUUCAAACGGCCAUUGGCCGUCUUAAUAUUAAGCUCCGUUAAGCUGGCAAUGAACAGUCAGCAGAAUCGACCGAAAUUGGCACCAAAAUUUGUUGCUAAAUAGUUGCUAAUUAGUUGCUGCAAACCCGAUUUUGUUGCUCGAACUGAUUCCCCAGAAAUCAAGAUAAUGCUAGCUUACACAUAAGCUAGUAGUAAACUCGCCAGAUCGGUGUUGAAUGAUACGGCUGAUGCGUGAGAAGUUGUUGUUCAAAAACACCGCGAAAAACGCAUUAAAAAUUGAAAAUCGGCGGAGCUUAACGACCGGCAGCAAAUGAUUAAUGACCCUGCUAAUUUAACACGCGGUUUUAAAUAACAAAGGACAGUCAUUAGUUUUGUUGCUGCUCAGAAAUAGACUCAGUGGUAUCCAAAGAGCCAGCAACAAAAUAAAAAGAAAAGAUCGGUCUCAACGAUCAGCAAGGGAAACUUGAUGGCCCUGCUAUAUUAAUAGGCGGUUUUUUAAAGCUAGAAGCAGUCGUUAAUUUUGUUUGUUGUUAACGUUAGUUUGUCGUUAAUAAGUCAUAAAAAAAUGUAAAAUCUGUGUAUUUUUGCGACGUAUGCUACUUAUUUACCGAUUGAGUGAUCCCUGCACCUACCCGAGUAGAAUUCUGGCUAAUGAAGAUGAGUUUAGAGCCAGUCACUAGCUCAGCAUUACUAGCUAGCAGAUUUAGCUAAUAACGAGCUCACCGUUGGCUAAUUUUUGUUUCAAGAAUAUUUUUAGCUCACCGAUAUCUCGUGAGUGAACAAUAUUUAUCAUUUACAGAUGGCGGUGUACAAGAAUGAAAUCCUGCCUCGUCAUUGCCUCACAGAUGGCUAAAAACAAUGACGAUGUACGAGAAUGAAAUUCUGACUUAUUAUUACAUCAUAGUUGGAUCGGAAUAAUUAUUUAUAGAUGGCGUCGUUUUCAAGUCAAAAGACGACUCACCACAAGCCGAUAGUUGGCCAUUAUCUAUUAUUUCCAGAUGGCGCUACGUAGAAAUGUAACGCUGACUCAUUAUUACAUCAUAGUUGGAUCGGAAUAAUUAUUUAUAGAUGGCGUCGUUUUCAAAUCAAAAGACGACUCACUACAAACUGAUAGCCGGCCAUAAUCUAUGAUUUACAGAUGGCGUUAUAUAUAAAUGUAACACUGACUAAUCAUUACUUCACAGCUGGUUCAAAAUGAUUAUUUAUAGAUAGCAAAAUUUUCAAUUCAAAAGAUGGCUAACUGUAAACUCCUGGCUGGUCACUACUUAUUAUUUACGGAUGGUGCUAUAAAAAAAAGAAUUUACUAAUUUGUUAUUGGUUUUUAUCUAGAUAAUACUUUUUGUUCUAGACAGAAAAAAAGGAUUUCUUGACGCAGAAAAUUUUCACUUGUCUUAGAAAAAAUUUUACAUCAUGAAAUGGAAAUGAAAAUUUUCUGGGAACGAGAAAAAUCUUUAUGGGACAAAAAAUUUUUUUUAAUCUCACGAAAUUUUACGAUCCAUUAUUUAGAAGGUAAAAUAAUAUUGUAACCAAUUUAUACUCAGCUUAAUAAGCAUCAACUUAGUAAAUAACAAUAAAUCAACCUAACCUCAAAUAAGUAUAGACGACGUUACAUAAAAAUGUAACUGGAACUCACCAGUAUCUCAUGGUUAUCCAACAAAAAUUGGUUACAGAUUGUAACAAAUGCUGUACAAAAAAUGAAAUUUACCUCAUCAGUAUCUCAUGGUUAUCUUGUCGCUAAUAGUUACAGGUGGCGCUGCAUAGAAAUAUAAAUGUAACUCACCAGUAUCUAAUGGGUGUCCAGUAAUUAUUAGCUAUAGAUGGAGCUGCUUAAAAAAUGAAUUUCACCUCACCAGUAUCUUAUAGUUGUCUGGUCACUAUUAGUUACAGAUUGCACUGCAUAAAACAUAUAUGGAUCAUCAAAUUGUAGUCGAUUCCAACGAGCAGUAGCAGCCUAGUGGAUAACACGCGAGACUCAUCAUCCCAGGGAUCCGGGUUCAACUCCCAUCACCGCCCAACUGGACAUCACGAUUAAUUCGAUGAUAAACUCAUAAAAAAAUUAAUCUAAAUCCUAAUUGUAAAGCCAGUGUAAAAAAAAAAAAAAAAAAAUUUUUAUUUUAAUGAAACUAAAUAACGUUAAUCUCAUAUUUCUUUCAUUUCAUUUGAGAAUUUUAAUUAUAGUGUAAUAAUAACAAGGAUUGCUGUGAAGGAUUCCAAUGCUUCAGAAAAUGCUGGGAGACGAAUUGUUGGCCAAAAAUAAACUAAUCAUGAAAUCUAGAAUUCAAGGUUUCAAUAAUUUAAGUUUAACAUCUAAUUAUUUAUUCCUUGAAGUAAAAUUAUGUAAGACGCAUAAAUAAAUAAAUGGCAUUGCGCUAUCAUAAUAAAAA